AGAUGCACAAGAGUAAACGUCGGCACCAAAAGUUGAUCCACGUCUACAGGUUUCCAUCCAUAUUAUUUGUUUUACAACCAUUCCAUCCUUUAUGGAGAAAACUGGACACAAAGAACCCAGGAGAAUGCCUUCCUCCAUCACCCGCUGAAGCACCUACUAGCGAUGUGAUGUCUGAUACUCAGCAGUUUGUUCCCCUGGUGGAGCAAGCUGUCGUGGCCCAGGAACCAGCUCCACCCUCAUGUCCUUCAGCAGAACCAGCCCGUGCACAUCAGAGAGGAGACAGAGAUAAAGAUCAUUGAGUUCACUAAAUCAUCAAUGGAGGCAUGUUUAGAAGUGAGGGUGAUGAUGACAAAAGAUAUGAUCCAGAUGCACAAAAGCAAACGUUGGCAGCAAAGGUUUCCAUCCAUAUUUUUUGUCCUACAACCCUUCCAUACUGCGUUCCUCCCUUAUACAUACAAAACUCCGAGCUUCCACCAGCUCCACCCUCAUGUCCUUUGGCAGAACCACCUUGUGCACACAGAGAGGAGACAGAGAUGAAGUUUGUCAAGCUUGCUGAGCUGUCAAUGGAGGCAUCUAUAGAAGUGAGAACCAGGAUGAUAAAAAAUAUGAUCAAGAUGCAGAAAAGCAAACGUUGGCG